rnacentral:rRNA from 1 species
AGAGUUUGAUCAUGGCUCAGAUUGAACGCUGGCGGCACGCCUAACACAUGCAAGUCGAGCGGUAACAGGAUGUGUAGCAAUACACAUUGCUGACGAGCGGCGGACGGGUGAGGAACACGUAGGAACCUACCCUCAAGCGGGGGAUAACUAAUGGAAACGUUAGCUAAUACCGCAUAAUCUCGGAAGAGAAAAGCUACCCGCAAGGGCGGCACUUGAGGAGGGGCCUGCGUCCGAUUAGCUAGUUGGUGAGGUAAUGGCUCACCAAGGCAAUGAUCGGUAACUGGUCUGAGAGGACGACCAGUCACACUGGGACUGAGACACGGCCCAGACUCCUACGGGAGGCAGCAGUGGGGAAUAUUGGACAAUGGGGGCAACCCUGAUCCAGCGAUGCCGCGUGAGUGAAGAAGGCCUUCGGGUCGUAAAGCUCUUUAGGUUGGGAAGAAGUGUAUUAGGUUCAUAGCCUAGUAUGUUGACGGUACCGACAGAAUAAGCACCGGCAAACUUGUGCCAGCAGCCGCGGUAAUAC